GUAGGCAGUUAACGCCUGAGCGGGUCCUGUCUGUGGAGUCGUUUCAGGUGUCAUAAAAAGCAGACUAACCUUCUUCUGAUGUCUGUAGGAAGAAGGGACAUUUAACAGGCUGGCAGUAAGUAAUCCAGUUCAGCGGAGUGCUUACUGUGAGACCAAAAGCUGAACUACACUCGUAGAAACUACUGGGUGAGCCAUUCAGUACGUGGGUUCGACUCCCACCACCUCCACCA
rnacentral:sRNA from 1 species